UACGGAGGGUGCAAGCGUUGUUCGGAAUUAUUGGGCGUAAAGGGCGUGUAGGUGGCUUUCCAAGUCCGGUGUGAAAUCCUACGGCUCAACCGUGGAACUGCAUUGGAAACUGGAUGGCUCGAGGGUUGGAGGGGGUCGCGGAAUUCCCGGUGUAGAGGUGAAAUUCGUAGAUAUCGGGAGGAACACCAGUGGCGAAGGCGGCGACCUGGCCAAUCACUGACACUGAGACGCGAAAGCGUGGGGAGCAAACAGG
rnacentral:rRNA from 1 species